rnacentral:rRNA from 1 species
GACGAACGCUGGCGGCGUGCUUAACACAUGCAAGUCGAACGGAAAGGCCCUGCUUUUGUCGGGGGCUCUAGUGGCGAACGGGUGAGUAACAAGUGAGUAACCUUCCCUUUACUUUGGGAUAACUUCAUGAAACGGGGGCUAAUACCGGAGAGGUGCGCCUGCUGCGUGUUGGGGGGUGGAGAGUUUCGGCGGUUGGGGAUGGACUCGCGGCUUAUCAGCUUGUGGGUGGGGUAGUGGCUUAAGAAGGCUUUGACGGGUAGCCGGCCUGAGAGGGUGACCGGCACGAUUGGGACUGAGAUGCGGCCCAGACUCCUACGGGAGGCAGCAGUGGGGAAUAUUGUACAAUGGGCGGAAGGCUGAUGCAGCAACGCCGCGUGCGGGAUGACGGCCUUCGGGUUGUAAACCGCGUUCGCCUGUGACGGAGCGUGAGUGAGGGUAAUGGGUAAAGAAGCACCGGCUAACUACGUG